AUGGCGCGCUUGUACAACUACAUUAUCGAGACCGAGACCGGCAAGACCGACUACACGAAACUGCCAAGUGCCUCGACGCUGCAUAAAUUUCUUCUCGAACCAUGCACUUUGCCAUGCCAUGCAUAUUUAAACCGGACAUGCAUCAUACUUGAUUUUGCAUCAUGCCAUGUUUAUGUCAUGGUUGUUUACUAUGUUGUUUGCUCCUUUCCGGUGUUGCUUCUUCUUGUUAGUUCCGGUAACAUCGCGUUUGUGAGGAUCCGUUCAACUACGUCCGUUUGUCUUCUUCAUGGACUCGUUCUUCUUCCUUGCGGGAUCUCAGUUGCAGGUGCCGAUGAUACCAGUGCAGGUGGUGCAACCCAGCUCAAGUGGGAGCUCGAUGAAGAUCUUGUUCGUUGUUUGUGUCUUUUCCGGUUGAUCAGUAGUGGAGCCCAGUUGGGACGACCAGGGAUCUAG
rnacentral:rRNA from 1 species